rnacentral:rRNA from 1 species
UACGAAGGGGGCUAGCGUUGCUCGGAAUCACUGGGCGUAAAGCGCACGUAGGCGGAUUGCUAAGUCAGGGGUGAAAUCCUGGAGCUCAACUCCAGAACUGCCUUUGAUACUGGCGAUCUUGAGUCCGGGAGAGGUGAGUGGAACUGCGAGUGUAGAGGUGAAAUUCGUAGAUAUUCGCAAGAACACCAGUGGCGAAGGCGGCUCACUGGCCCGGUACUGACGCUGAAGUGCGAAAGCGUGGGGAGCAAACAGG